rnacentral:rRNA from 1 species
AUUGAACGCUGGCGGCAGGCCUAACACAUGCAAGUCGAGCGAGCGGCGGACGGGUGAGUAAUGUCUGGGAAACUGCCUGAUGGAGGGGGAUAACUACUGGAAACGGUAGCUACUACCGCAUACCAUCAGAUGUUCCCCGAUGGGAGUAGCUAGUAGGUGGGGUAACGGCUCACCGAGGCGACGAUCCCUAGCUGGUCUGAGAGGAUGACCAGCCACACUGGAACUGAGAAAGGGUCAAGAAUCCUACGGGAGGCAGCAGUGGGAAAUAUUGCACAAUGGGAGCAAGCCUGAUGCAGCCAUGCCGCGUGUAUGAAGAAGGCCUUCGGGUUGUAAAGUACUUUCAGCGGGGAGGCGUUACCCGCAGAAGAAGCACCGGCUAACUCCGUGCCAGCCGCCGCGGUAAUAC